GACGAACGCUGGUGGCGUGCCUAAUACAUGCAAGUCGAACGAAAGGAACCAGCUUAUUUGCUUCGCUCAAGAGGUUAAGAAAGCAAGCACACGAUGGUAGACUGACACUGGCGGAACCAGCCCCAUAGGCUGGGAUACCAUCUUGCAAACAGGUGCUUAUCCGCGUGAUAGGAAAGGCAGAUGGAAAGAUCAGGUUUUAGAAGGCGGACUCACCUGUCACUAUGGUAUGGCCGCGCGAUGGAUUAACUAAGGGUUAAAGUGGAGGCCUACCAGAGAGAGGAAGCAUAGCCGAUGUGACAGACUGAUCGGCCACAUUGCCGACUGAGACACGGACCAGACUCCUACGGGAGGUGGCAGAAGGAAUCAUCCACAAUGGACGCAAGUCUGAUGAAGCACCUCCGCGUGAGUAAAGAAGGCUUCCGGAUCGAAAAGCUAUGGAGUUGGUGAAGAAAGAAAGAGGCAGUAACUGGCCUUUAUUUGACCGUAAUCAAACAUAAAGUCACAGCUAACUACGUGCCUACAGCCGCGAUAAUACUCAUAUGGCAAGCAUCGUCCCGAUAUAUUGAGCGUGAAGCUAACCCCUGAGCAAGAUUACGACAGAUGUGAAACUCCUCAGCUUAGCCGAGGAACUGCAUCGGAAACUGGUUUUCUUGAGUGCAUUUUAGGAGAGUGGAACUCCAUGUGUAGCGGUGGAAUGCGUAGAUAUAUGGAAGAACACCAGUGGCGAAGGCGGCUCUCUGGUCUGCAACUGACGCUGAGGCUCGAAAGCAUGGGUAGCGAACAGGAUUAGAUACCCUGGUAGUCCAUGCCGUAAACGAUGAGUGCUAAGUGUUGGGAGGUUUCCGCCUCUCAGUGCUGCAGCUAACGCAUUAAGCACUCCGCCUGGGGAGUACGACCGCAAGGUUGAAACUCAAAGGAAUUGACGGGGGCCCGCACAAGCGGUGGAGCAUGUGGUUUAAUUCGAAGCAACGCGAAGAACCUUACCAGGUCUUGACAUCUAGUGCCAUUUGUAGAGAUACAAAGUUCCCUUCGGGGACGCUAAGACAGGUGGUGCAUGGCUGUCGUCAGCUCGUGUCGUGAGAUGUUGGGUUAAGUCCCGCAACGAGCGCAACCCUUGUUAUUAGUUGCCAGCAUUAAGUUGGGCACUCUAAUGAGACUGCCGGUGACAAACCGGAGGAAGGUGGGGAUGACGUCAAGUCAUCAUGCCCCUUAUGACCUGGGCUACACACGUGCUACAAUGGGCAGUACAACGAGAAGCGAGCCUGCGAAGGCAAGCGAAUCUCUGAAAGCUGUUUUCAGUUCGGACUGCAGUCUGCAACUCGACUGCACGAAGCUGGAAUCGCUAGUAAUCGCGGAUCAGCCACGCUGCGGUGAAUACGUUCCCGGGCCU
rnacentral:rRNA from 1 species